GGACGCGGUCAUACCAGCACUAAUGCACUGGAUCCCAUCAGAACUCCGAAGUUAAGCGUGCUUGGGCGAGAGUAGUACUAGGAUGGGUGACCUCCUGGGAAGUCCUCGUGUUGCAUUCC
rnacentral:rRNA from 1 species